CUCUUUGGUUAUCUAGCUGUAUGAGUACCAGACCAAAUUAGUCUUGUUUGAUAAUUAUCAGCAUAGACUUUUUUAUUAUUAUUGGUUGUAUCUGGCUCAAUCACAUCAUAAAGCUAGGUUACCAAAGUU
rnacentral:pre_miRNA from 1 species